AUACGGAGGAUGCGAGCGUUAUCCGGAUUUAUUGGGUUUAAAGGGUGCGUAGGCGGAAUAAUAAGUCAGUGGUGAAACCCUGCAGCUUAACUGUAGACUUGCCAUUGAUACUGUGAGGCUUGAGUGACGUUGAGGCAGGCGGAAUGUGUAGUGUAGCGGUGAAAUGCUUAGAUAUUACACAGAACACCGAUUGCGUAGGCAGCUUGCUAAAGGUUAACUGACGCUGAUGCACGAAAGCGUGGGGAUC
rnacentral:rRNA from 1 species